UACGGAGGGUCCAAGCGUUGUCCGGAAUCAUUGGGCGUAAAGGGCGCGUAGGUGGCCCGGUCAGUUCGUGGUGAAAGCGCGGGGCUCAACCCUGCGUCGGCCAUGAAUACUGCCGCGGCUGGAGCACUGUAGAGGCAGGCGGAAUUCCGGGUGUAGCGGUGGAAUGCGUAGAGAUCCGGAAGAACACCGGUGGCGAAGGCGGCCUGCUGGGCAGUUUUGCUGGACACUGAGGCGCGACAGCGUGGGGAGCAAACAGG
rnacentral:rRNA from 1 species